rnacentral:rRNA from 1 species
UACGGAGGGUGCUAGCGUUGUUCGGAAUUACUGGGCGUAAAGCGCACGUAGGCGGACUGGAAAGUCAGGGGUGAAAUCCCGGGGCUCAACCCCGGAACUGCCUUUGAAACUCCCGGUCUUGAGGUCGAGAGAGGUGAGUGGAAUUCCGAGUGUAGAGGUGAAAUUCGUAGAUAUUCGGAGGAACACCAGUGGCGAAGGCGGCUCACUGGCUCUAUACUGACGCUGAGGUGCGAAAGCGUGGGGAGCAAACAGG